CCCCCGGGUACACAGCCGUAUAUUCUUCGCUGUGGCUCCCUCCAGCCGUGGCAUGCGGGACGCCGCCUCAGCGUGGUCCGAUGAGCAGUGCCAUGUCCGCGCCCAGGAUUCGAACCAACGAAACACUGGGCCGCCUGCAGCGGAGCGUGCGAACCCAACCACUCGGCCACGGGGCCAGCCCCUGGGGGAAGUGGUUUUUAGUUUGAGUUGGAAAAGCAUCCUGAUGAAUCCAAUAACUUUGGCUGGUGUUGCUUCUAAGCUGCCUGGACCAGAAAGAAGCAGCCGCUUUCCACUGAGAGCCAGAAGCCAAAAUCCGAACUGUUGUCGUGAGGUCACAAGGGUGAUCUCAUAUACGGUGCCAUCUAUUCCAUCUCAGGCCAUUCCUGUGCAGCUGCUUCGAGCUAAAACUCCUCCACGCUCCACUUCUGAUUUUCCAGGGUUUCCCUGUCUGUCAGUUUCAGCCUGCCCCCUCCUGUUAUUUUUAGAUUUGAUUUUAGUCCUUAUAAAGGGCCAGGGGUGAGGAUAGGGAGAAAAUUUUCUUCAUUUUAAUUAAAAGCAGAU
rnacentral:lncRNA from 1 species